UAAAGCGUCCGUAGCUGGCUGCGCAAGUCCGUCGGGAAAUCCACUCGCCCAACGAGUGGGCGUCCGACGGAAACUGCACAGCUUGGGACCGGAAGGCUCGAAGGGUACGUUCGGGGUAGGAGUGAAAUCCCAUAAUCCCGCACGGACCACCGAUGGCGAAAGCACUUCGAGAAAACGGAUCCGACAGUGAGGGACGAAAGCCAGGGUCUCCAAC
rnacentral:rRNA from 1 species